UACGUAGGGGGCAAGCGUUGUCCGGAAUCAUUGGGCGUAAAGGGCGCGUAGGCGGCCUGUGCAAGUCAGUUGUGAAAUCUCCGAGCUUAACUCGGAACGGUCAACUGAUACUGCUCGGCUAGAGUGCGGAAGGGGCAACUGGAAUUCUUGGUGUAGCGGUGAAAUGCGCAGAUAUCAGGAGGAACACCGAUGGCGAAGGCAGGUCUCUGGGCAUUAACUGACGCUGAGGAGCGAAAGCAUGGGGAGCGAACAGG
rnacentral:rRNA from 1 species